UUGGCUACAGUAAAAAGCGUCCUUGGAAUCGAGAAAACAAGAAGUGUAAUUGAAUUUUUUGCACACAUAUUAAUCUAAAAUGUCUCUCUGUGUUUUUGAUUUAACCAUUGAAAGGGUGUCAGCCCCAGGUGUGUGGUUGGCCAGCAGUAAGGAUAUAUUUAUCAGUAUAAGAGCAUUUGGAGAUUACAGGAGGACAUGUAGAGUUCCACCAGUCUUCCCUCUCAGUUUAUACCAAUCAUUCAGGUUUGAAAAGAAAUUCUUCUCAGCUGUAGACUCCCUAGAUGUGGCGAGAGCUCUGGAAGGAGAGGAGGUGGAGAUUGAACUACUUCAGCAUGAUGUAUUUUAUGAUGGUCUUAUAAAGCUUGCAUCCUUCUCUACAAAUGCACGGGAAUUUUUGUUCCCAUACCCCAGCUUGAGCCCGGCAUUCUCUACAGCAUCUAAAGAAAUUGUCCUUUUCCGAUCUGCUCUUUUCCCAGGCAAUUCACCGAAGUUGGAGUUCUCAGUAAAGACAAAUAUUACAAGAGAUGCACCACUUCUUACCAGGACUGUUUGCUACAGAGAACAAGUGCCUGUGUACUCAAGAUAUGAUGAUGAUGAUGCUGAAGUUGCUGAACUUACCUCAGAUGUAAGAAGAUCGUACAUUUCUACUCCACGUAUCAGACCGCGGUCAGCUGAUCCGAGCUUGUCAUAUAGGUACCGGUCAGUUUCACCAGCUCCACUACUCUCAGCUGCUGACAGGUUGGAGAUUGAACUUGAAGCAGACCGUGCUAGGGCUAGAGCUGAAGCUGAAAUCUCCCUCAGAAAAUGUGUUUCUCCAUUUAGACCAUACACAUCGGUCAAGUCGUACAGACCUUUGACUCCCACAAGGUCGUACAUUCCUACAAGGUCAAUCACACCAACUAGGUCAUACACACCAACUAGGUCAUACACCUCGGGUUAUCUUCGCUCUAUUGAUGACUCCUACCUUAGCAGAAAAUCUCCAUACUCUCCCAGAUAUUCUUAUUAUUAAAAGAUUACAAUUGGUAUGCAUUUGUUUAGUGACAAAAAGUGGAACAGGAAAGGGAUGGUACUUCUGAAGAACACAAACACGAUUGCUCAACUGAUCAAAGUGAAAAUCAUGGCAUUUAGCAAUCAUUAACUUUUGAAUUAAACUUGGAUAUACUAAAACCAGUUUUAGAUAUUAUUAUUAUUAUUGAUUCCAUUUUAUCUAGGUAAAAUAAAUAGUCUAGUUCAUAUUUGUUUGUUAUAGGGUAAUUCUUUUCCUAAAGAUUAUUUAUUUUAUGAUUAUAAUUUAUUGUUAACAAUCCAUGUUUUAAUGUUUGAUAUAUUUCAGUAUAUUUUUAUAUGU